rnacentral:rRNA from 1 species
GACGAACGCUGGCGGCGUGCUUAACACAUGCAAGUCGAGCGGUAAGGCCUCUUCGGGGGUACACGAGCGGCGAACGGGUGAGUAACACGUGGGUGACCUGCCCUCAGCUCUGGGUUAAGCCUGGGAAACUGGGUCUAAUACCGGAUAUGACCUUUCCUCGCAUGGGGUUUGGUGGAAAGUUUUUUCGGCUGGGGAUGGGCCCGCGGCCUAUCAGUUUGUUGGUGGGGUGAUGGCCUACCAAGGCGACGACGGGUAGCCGGCCUGAGAGGGCGACCGGCCACACUGGGACUGAGACACGGCCCAGACUCCUACGGGAGGCAGCAGUGGGGAAUAUUGCGCAAUGGGCGGAAGCCUGACGCAGCGACGCCGCGUGGGGGAUGACGGCCUUCGGGUUGUAAACCUCUUUCGACCCCGACGAAUUUGGACGGUAGGGGUAGAAGAAGCACCGGCCAACUACGUG